UACGAAGGGGGCUAGCGUUGCUCGGAAUCACUGGGCGUAAAGCGCACGUAGGCGGAUUGUUAAGUCAGGGGUGAAAUCCUGGAGCUCAACUCCAGAACUGCCUUUGAUACUGGCGAGCUUCGAGUCCGGGAGAGGUGAGUGGAACUGCGAGUGUAGAGGUGAAAUUCGUAGAUAUUCGCAAGAACACCAGUGGCGAAGGCGGCUCACUGGCCCGGUACUGACGCUGAGGCACGAAAGCGUGGGGAGCAAACAGG
rnacentral:rRNA from 1 species